rnacentral:tRNA from 2 species
GUCGGGAUAGCUCAGCUGGUAGAGCAGAGACUGAA